UGAAUAUAAUAUAUCACUAUGGAUCCU
rnacentral:piRNA from 1 species